rnacentral:rRNA from 1 species
GGGCGUUAAGUUGCAGGGUAUAGACCCGAAACCCGGUGAUCUAGCCAUGGGCAGGUUGAAGGUUGGGUAACACUAACUGGAGGACCGAACCGACUAAUGUUGAAAAAUUAGCGGAUGACUUGUGGCUGGGGGUGAAAGGCCAAUCAAACCGGGAGAUAGCUGGUUCUCCCCGAAAGCUAUUUAGGUAGCGCCUCGUGAACUCAUCUCCGGGGGUAGAGCACUGUUUCGGCUAGGGGGCCAUCCCGGCUUACCAACCCGAUGCAAACUGCGAAUACCGGAGAAUGUUAUCACGGGAGACACACGGCGGGUGCUAACGUCCGUCGUGAAGAGGGAAACAACCCAGACCGCCAGCUAAGGUCCCAAAGUCAUGGUUAAGUGGGAAACGAUGUGGGAAGGCACAGACAGCCAGGAUGUUGGCUUAGAAGCAGCCAUCAUUUAAAGAAAGCGUAAUAGCUCACUGGUCGAGUCGGCCUGCGCGGAAGAUGUAACGGGGCUAAACCAUGCACCGAAGCUGCGGCAGCGACACUAUGUGUUGUUGGGUAGGGGAGCGUUCUGUAAGCCGCUGAAGGUGUGCUGUGAGGCACGCUGGAGGUAUCAGAAGUGCGAAUGCUGACAUAAGUAACGAUAAAGCGGGUGAAAAGCCCGCUCGCCGGAAGACCAAGGGUUCCUGUCCAACGUUAAUCGGGGCAGGGUGAGUCGACCCCUAAGGCGAGGCUGAAAAGCGUAGUCGAUGGGAAACAGGUUAAUAUUCCUGUACUUGGUGUUACUGCGAAGGGGGGACGGAGAAGGCUAGGUUAUCCGGGCGACGGUUGUCCCGGUUUAAGCGUGCAGGUGUGAAGACCAGGCAAAUCCGGUCUUCUUUAACACUGAGGCGUGAUGACGAGCCGCCACGGCGGUGAAGUAACUGAUGCCCUGCUUCCAGGAAAAGCCUCUAAGCUCCAGGUAACACGAAAUCGUACCCCAAACCGACACAGGUGGUCAGGUAGAGAAUACCAAGGCGCUUGAGAGAACUCGGGUGAAGGAACUAGGCAAAAUGGUGCCGUAACUUCGGGAGAAGGCACGCUGGCGCGUAGGUGAAGGGACUUGCUCCCGGAGCCGAAGCCAGUCGAAGAUACCAGCUGGCUGCAACUGUUUAUUAAAAACACAGCACUGUGCAAACACGAAAGUGGACGUAUACGGUGUGACGCCUGCCCGGUGCCGGAAGGUUAAUUGAUGGGGUUAUCCGCAAGGAGAAGCUCUUGAUCGAAGCCCCGGUAAACGGCGGCCGUAACUAUAACGGUCCUAAGGUAGCGAAAUUCCUUGUCGGGUAAGUUCCGACCUGCACGAAUGGCGUAAUGAUGGCCAGGCUGUCUCCACCCGAGACUCAGUGAAAUUGAAAUCGCUGUGAAGAUGCAGUGUACCCGCGGCAAGACGGAAAGACCCCGUGAACCUUUACUAUAGCUUGACACUGAACAUUGAGCCUUGAUGUGUAGGAUAGGUGGGAGGCUUUGAAGCGCGGACGCCAGUCUGCGUGGAGCCAACCUUGAAAUACCACCCUUUAAUGUUUGAUGUUCUAACGUAGGCCCGUAAUCCGGGCUGCGGACAGUGUCUGGUGGGUAGUUUGACUGGGGCGGUCUCCUCCCAAAGCGUAACGGAGGAGCACGAAGGUUGGCUAAUCCUGGUCGGACAUCAGGAGGUUAGUGCAAUGGCAUAAGCCAGCUUGACUGCGAGAGUGACGGCUCGAGCAGGUGCGAAAGCAGGUCAUAGUGAUCCGGUGGUUCUGAAUGGAAGGGCCAUCGCUCAACGGAUAAAAGGUACUCCGGGGAUAACAGGCUGAUACCGCCCAAGAGUUCAUAUCGACGGCGGUGUUUGGCACCUCGAUGUCGGCUCAUCACAUCCUGGGGCUGAAGUAGGUCCCAAGGGUACGGCUGUUCGCCGUUUAAAGUGGUACGCGAGCUGGGUUUAGAACGUCGUGAGACAGUUCGGUCCCUAUCUGCCGUGGGCGCUGGAGAAUUGAGGGGGGUUGCUCCUAGUACGAGAGGACCGGAGUGAACGCACCGCUGGUGUUCGGGUUGUCAUGCCAAUGGCACUGCCCGGUAGCUAAGUGCGGAAGAGAUAAGUGCUGAAAGCAUCUAAGCACGAAACUUGCCCCGAGAUGAGUUCUCCCUGACCCUUUAAGGGUCCUGAAGGGACGUUGAAGACGACGACGUUGAUAGGCCGGGUGUGUAAGCGCAGCGAUGCGUUGAGCUAACCGGUACUAAUGACCCGUGAGGCUUAACCUU